rnacentral:ncRNA from 2 species
AACCUUGCCAAGGGGUGGCUUCGGCCUGAGAUUGCGUAUGCAAAACCCUUUGAACCUGAUCUGGAUCAUACCAGCGUAGGGACAGGCGCCAAACUGCAAA